AUAUUUACAUGGCAGGGGAGAUACCAUGAUCUUGAAGGUGGUUUUCCCAGGGCGAGGCUCACCCACUGCCCUCCAGAUGUACUGAUCCCUGCAUUCUCCCCAAAUGUGGGAACCUCGACUGCAUUUGUGUUCUUCCCUGUAAAAGUUAUAACAGUAAUAACAGGAC